UGGAUGCGAUGCUCUUAUAUAUUUGGAAACUCAAUGAUUAUCUAUUUAUAUCAGGGAUUAAGGUUAACAACUAAUAGGGGUGUUUCUGGAUUUGCCCUCCAUUCCAAUGAGAUAGAAAAGGAGAAUCACAGUCAUCCACAGUGUGUAUCCUCUACCAUUUAUUUGGUGGGAUUCCACCCUCUAGAUCCCCCCGGCAUUGGGGUGCUGCCCCUC
rnacentral:lncRNA from 1 species